rnacentral:rRNA from 1 species
UAUCUCUGUAGAGUCUGCAUAUCAAUAAGCGGAGGAAAAGAAACUAACUAGGAUUCCCUUAGUAACGGCGAGUGAAGCGGGAAGAGCUCAAAUUUGAAAUCUUCAAGGUUCUACCUUGACGAAUUGUAGUUUAAAGAAGUGUUUUCUGUUGGAAUUUUGGUAAAAGUUCUUUGGAAAUAGGACAUCAAUAGAGGGUGAGAAUCCCGUAUUUGACCAUUAUUUCCAGCUUUGUGAUACACUUUCAAAGAGUCGGAUUGUUUGGGAAUGCAGUCCAAAAUGGGUGGUAAAUUUCAUCUAAAGCUAAAUACUGGCGAGAGACCGAUAGCGAACAAGUACCGUGAGGGAAAGAUGAAAAGAACUUUGAAAAGAGAGUUAAACAGUACGUGAAAUUGUCAAAAGGGAAGCGUUUGACACCAGUGUUGUUUUCUCGAAAAUCAAUUAAAAAUGGCGGGAUUUUGUGUUGUAUUGACUUUAUCAGCUUUCUGCACUUUUUUCCUGUCUUUUUUAAUGCACUUUUCGUUUAACAAGUCAACAUCAAUUUCUUUUGUUGUAAAAGGGUCAUUGGAAGGUGACUUUCUUUUCGGAGAAAGUGUUUAUAGCCUUUGACUUCUGCAAUCGGAGAGAUUGAGGUCUGCAGCGUAGAUCCUUCGGGGUUAGAUACAGUUAGAUGCUAAGUUAUAGCCUUUUCAUAGACAACUUGUUGACUAUGAUCAUCAUGUAGCUUACUCGCUUAUGCUAUUUUACCUACGCUUAGGAUGUUGAUCUCUCACAGUCGAGC